UACGUAGGUGGCAAGCGUUAUCCGGAAUUAUUGGGCGUAAAGCGCGCGUAGGCGGUUUUUUAAGUCUGAUGUGAAAGCCCACGGCUCAACCGGGGAGGGUCAUUGGAAACUGGGGAACUUGAGUGCAGAAGAGGAGAGUGGAAUUCCAUGUGUAGCGGUGAAAUGCGCAGAGAUAUGGAGGAACACCAGUGGCGAAGGCGGCUCUCUGGUCUGUAACUGACGCUGAUGUGCGAAAGCGUGGGGAUCAAACAGG
rnacentral:rRNA from 1 species